rnacentral:rRNA from 1 species
UAACCGGCGAUACCCGAAUGGGGAAACCCAGUGUGAUUCGUCACACUAUCAUUAACUGAAUCCAUAGGUUAAUGAGGCGAACCGGGGGAACUGAAACAUCUAAGUACCCCGAGGAAAAGAAAUCAACCGAGAUUCCCCCAGUAGCGGCGAGCGAACGGGGAGGAGCCCAGAGCCUGAAUCAGCAUGUGUGUUAGUGGAAGCGUCUGGAAAGGCGCGCGAUACAGGGUGACAGCCCCGUACACAAAAGCGCAUGUGCUGUGAGCUCGAUGAGUAGGGCGGGACACGUGGUAUC